UACGGAGGGUGCAAGCGUUAUCCGGAUUCACUGGGUUUAAAGGGUGCGUAGGCGGACAGGUAAGUCAGUGGUGAAAUCUCUGGGCUUAACUCAGAAACUGCCGUUGAUACUAUUUGUCUUGAAUAUCAUGGAGGUAAGCGGAAUAUGUCAUGUAGCGGUGAAAUGCUUAGAUAUGACAUAGAACACCGAUAGCGAAGGCAGCUUACUACAUGAAGAUUGACGCUGAGGCACGAAAGCGUGGGGAGCAAACAGG
rnacentral:rRNA from 1 species